rnacentral:rRNA from 1 species
GAUGAACGCUGGCGGCGUGCUUAACACAUGCAAGUCGAACGAGAAGUGAAGACGGAAACCUUCGGGCGGAAGGCUUUAUUUCGAGUGGCGGACGGGUGAGUAACGCGUGGGUAACCUGCCUCAUACAGGGGGAUAACAGUUGGAAACGACUGUUAAUACCGCAUAAGACCACAGCACCGCAUGGUGCGGGGGUAAAAACUCCGGUGGUAUGAGAUGGACCCGCGUUCGAUUAGCCAGUUGGCGGGGUAACGGCCCACCAAAGCGACGAUCGAUAGCCGAUCUGAGAGGAUGACCGGCCACAUUGGGACUGAGCAACGGCCCAAACUCCUACGGGAGGCGGCAGUGGGGAAUAUUGCACAAUGGGGGAAACCCGGAUGCAGCGACGCCGCGUGAGUGAAGAAGUAUUUCGGUAUGUAAAGCUUUAUCAGCAGGGAAGAAAAUGACGGUACCUGAGUAAGAAGCCCCGGCUAACUACGUG